rnacentral:miRNA from 1 species
CAUGGGAAUUUUAAAGUCACCU